rnacentral:rRNA from 1 species
ACGAAAGCUAGCCCAAUCAGCUUUAAAUUAAACUGUUAUGUAAUCGCAAAAUAAAACAUUUAGUUAAAAUAUUAAAGUAUAGGAGAUAGAAAUUCUAAUUGGAGCUAUAGAGACAGUACCGUAAGGGAAUGAUGAAAGACAUUUUCAAAGUACAAAACAGCAAAGAUUAUACCUUCUACCUUUUGCAUAAUGAACUAGCCAGAAAUAACUUAACAAAGAGAACUUAAGCUAAGUCCCCCGAAACCAGACGAGCUACCUAUGAACAAUCUAAAAGGAUCAACUCAUCUAUGUGGCAAAAUAGUGAGAAGAUUUGUAGGUAGAGGUGAAAAGCCUAACGAGCCUGGUGAUAGCUGGUUACCCACAAAUAGAAUUUUAGUUCAACUUUAAAUUUACCAAAAAAAACAAAGUUCUAAUGUAAAUUUAAAAUAUAAUCUAAAAAGGUACAGCUUUUUAGAACAAGGACACAACCUUUAUUAGAGAGUAAAUACUAACACAACCAUAGUUGGCCUAAAAGCAGCCAUCAAUUGAGAAAGCGUUCAAGCUCAACAAAUAAUGCAACUUAAUCCCAACCAUAUUGCAUAAACUCCUAACUUACCCCUGGGUUAUUCUAUCUAAGUAUAGAAGCAACAAUGCUAGUAUGAGUAACAAGAAUUAUUUCUCCCCGCAUAAGCUUAUAUCAGAAACGGAUAAACCACUGAUAGUUAACAACCUGAUAAGACUAAUCCAAAAAUAAAAUACUUAUCUACCCCAUUGUUAACCCAACACAGGCAUGCACCCAAGGAAAGAUUAAAAGAAGUAAAAGGAACUCGGCAAACACAAACCCCGCCUGUUUACCAAAAACAUCACCUCCAGCAUUCCCAGUAUUGGAGGCACUGCCUGCCCAGUGACGUCCGUUAAACGGCCGCGGUAUCCUGACCGUGCAAAGGUAGCAUAAUCAUUUGUUCCUUAAAUAGGGACUUGUAUGAAUGGCCACACGAGGGUUUAACUGUCUCUUACUUCCAAUCCGUGAAAUUGACCUUCCCGUGAAGAGGCGGGAAUAUCAUAAUAAGACGAGAAGACCCUAUGGAGCUUUAAUUAAUUAGCCCAAACCCAUGAAAUCCAAACCCCUCCGGGAAUAACUUACUAUCAUCGUUAUGGGCUAACAAUUUAGGUUGGGGUGACCUCGGAAUAUAAAAAAACUCCCGAGUGAUUAAAAUUUAGACCUACCAGUCAAAAUGUAUCAUCACUUAUUGAUCCAAUAAUCAUUGAUCAACGGAACAAGUUACCCUAUUUAAGAGUUCAUAUCGACAAUAGGGUUUACGACUCCUAAUGGUGCAGCAGCUAUUAAGGGUUCGUUUGUUCAACGAUUAAAGUCCUACGUGAUCUGAGUUCAGACCGGAGUAAUCCAGGUCGGUUUCUAUCUAUUAAAUAAUUUCUCCCAGUACGAAAGGACAAGAGAAAUAGGGCCUACCUUACAGAGGCGCCUUAAAACUAAUAGAUGAAAUUAAGCUUAAUCUAGUCAGUUUACUCCUUUAUAAACCCAAGAAAAGGGGGCUUU